CAACGCCGCGUGAGGGAUGUAGGCCUCUGGGCUGUAAACCUCUUUUAUCAAGGAAGAAGAUCUGACGGUACUUGAUGAAUAAGCCACGGCUAAUUCCGUGCCAGCAGCCGCGGUAAUACGGGAGUGGCAAGCGUUAUCCGGAAUUAUUGGGCGUAAAGCGUCCGCAGGCGGUCUUGAAAGUCUGUUGUUAAAGCGUGGAGCUCAACUCCAUUUCAGCAAUGGAAACUAGAAGACUAGAGUGUGGUAGGGGCAGAGGGAAUUCCCGGUGUAGCGGUGAAAUGCGUAGAUAU
rnacentral:rRNA from 1 species